UGGGGAAUAUUGGACAAUGGGCGCAAGCCUGAUCCAGCCAUGCCGCGUGAGUGAUGAAGGCCCUAGGGUUGUAAAGCUCUUUCACCGGUGAAGAUAAUGACGGUAACCGGAGAAGAAGCCCCGGCUAACUUCGUGCCAGCAGCCGCGGUAAUACGAAGGGGGCUAGCGUUGUUCGGAUUUACUGGGCGUAAAGCGCACGUAGGCGGACUUUUAAGUCAGGGGUGAAAUCCCGGGGCUCAACCCCGGAACUGCCUUUGAUACUGGAAGUCUUGAGUAUGGUAGAGGUGAGUGGAAUUCCGAGUGUAGAGGUGAAAUUCGUAGAUAUUCGGAGGAACACAAGUGGCGAAGGCGGCUCACUGGACCAUUACUGACGCUGAGGUGCGAAAGCGUGGGGAGCAAACAGG
rnacentral:rRNA from 1 species